rnacentral:rRNA from 1 species
GGGUCAGUGGGUUGGUCGUGCCACCGGUACGUACUGGUCUCACUGAUUCCUCCUUCCUGAAGAACCGUAAUGCCAUUAAUUUGGUGUUGCGGGGAAACAGGACUGUUACUUUGAAAAAAUUAGAGUGUUUAAAGCAAGCUAACGCUUGAAUACAUUAGCAUGGAAUAAUGAAAUAGGACGAUCGAUCCUAUUUUGUCGGUUUCUAGGAUUGACGUA